CCUACGGGUGGCAGCAGUGGGGAAUAUUGCGCAAUGGGCGAAAGCCUGACGCAGCGACGCCGCGUGAGGGAUGAAGGUCUUCGGAUCGUAAACCUCUGUCAGCAGGGAAGAACGGUCACUGUGCUAAUCAGCAGUGAAUUGACGGUACCUGCAAAGGAAGCACCGGCUAACUCCGUGCCAGCAGCCGGGGUAAUAUGGAGGGUGCGAGCGUUAAUCGGAAUUACGGGGCGUAAGGCGCGAGUAGGUGGUAGGUCAAGUCAAGGGUGAAAUCCCCGCGCUCAACGUGGGAACUGCCUUUGAAACUGGCAAACUGGAGUGUGUGAGAGGAUAGUGGAAUUCCAGGUGUAGGAGUGAAAUCCGUAGAUAUCUGGAGGAACAUCAGUGGCGAAGGCGACUAUCUGGCACAUAACUGACGCUGAGGAGCGAAAGCGUGGGUAGCAAACAGGAUUAGAUACCCGAGUAGUC
rnacentral:rRNA from 1 species